rnacentral:rRNA from 1 species
AAUAGAUACCCGGGUAGUCCACGCCGUAAACGAUGAGUGCUAGGUGUUGGGGGGACCCCCCUCAGUGCCGCAGGUAACCCAAUAAGCACUCCGCCUGGGGAGUACGGUCGCAAGACUGAAACUCAAAGGAAUUGACGGGGGCCCGCACAAGCGGUGGAGCAUGUGGUUUAAUUCGAAGCAACGCGAAGAACCUUACCAGGGCUUGACAUCCUGCUGACCGGUGUAGAGAUAUGCCUUUCCCCUUCGGGGGACAGCGGUGACAGGUGGUGCAUGGUUGUCGUCAGCUCGUGUCGUGAGAUGUUGGGUUCAGUCCCGCAACGAGCGCAACCCUUGUUUCUAGUUGCCAGCACUUCGGGUGGGCACUCUAGAGAGACAGCCGGUGAAAGCCGGAGGAAGGUGGGGAUGACGUCAAAGUCAUCAUGCCCCUUAUGUCCUGGGCUACACACGUGCUACAAUGGCUGGGACAAUGGGCAGCCAAACCGCAAGGUGGAGCGAAUCCCANAAACCCGGUCUCAGUUCAGAUCGCGGGCUGCAACUCCCG